rnacentral:rRNA from 1 species
AUGUAUCAGUUUAAUCGCAUCAGCGAGAAACCGCGAACGGCUCAUUACAAUAGCCAUUAUUUACUUGAUCUUGAUCAAUCCUAAAUGGAUAACUGUGGAAAAGCUAGAGCUAAUACAUGCACAAAAGCUCCGACCCCUCGGGGGAGAGCGUAUUUAUUGGAACAAAACCAAGCAGCUUCGGCUGUUCAUUGUUGACUCAGAAUAACUCAACUGACCGCACGGCCCCGAGCCGGCGGCGUGUCAUUCAAGUGUCUACUUUAUCAUACUUGAUGUUAGUAUCAGUGGCUAACAUGGUGGUGACGGAUAACGGAGGAUCAGGGUUCGACUCCGGAGAAGGGGCCUGAGAAAUGGCCACUACGUCUAAGGAUGGCAGCAGGCGCGCAAAUUACCCACUCUCGGCAUGAGGAGGUAGUGACGAGAAAUAACGAGGCCGUUCUCUUCUGAGGCCGGUCAUCGGAAUGGGAAAAAUUUAAAUCCUUUAUCGAGUAUCUACGAGAGGGCAAGUCUGGUGCCAGCAGCCGCGGUAAUUCCAGCUCUCGAAGUACCUAGGAGUAUUGCUGCGGUUAAAAAGCUCGUAGUUGGACUUAAAGUCGGUACCGUAGUCCCCCUAGGGUGCGUACUACAGUAUUGUCUUACUGUAAUGUUCUGCCUUGGGCCUUUAACAGGGAACUCGCGCAGUCGUUACAAGUUUACUUUGAACAAAUCAGAGUGCUUCAAACAAGCGGUUCGCUUGAAUGUUCGUGCAUGGAAUAAUAGAAGAGGAUUUUGGUUCUAUUUUAUUGGUUUUAUAGGCUGAGAUAAUGGUUAAAAGAGACAAACGGGGGUAUUCGUAUGGACACGUGAGAGGUGAAAUUCUUGGACCGUGGCCAGACGGACUACAGCGAAAGCAUUUGCCAAGAAUGUCUUCAUUAAUCAAGAACGAAAGUCAGAGGUUCGAAGGCGAUCAGAUACCGCCCUAGUUCUGACCGUAAACGAUGCCAACUAGCGAUCCGCCGAUGGAAAUUUUUGCCUUGGUGGGGAGCUUCCCGGAAACGAAAGUCUUCCGGUUCCGGGGGAAGUAUGGUUGCAAAGCUGAAACUUAAAGGAAUUGACGGAAGGGCACCACCAGGAGUGGAGCCUGCGGCUUAAUUUGACUCAACACGGGAAAACUCACCCGGCCCGGACACCGUCAGGAUUGACAGAUUGAUAGCUUUUUCAUGAUUCGGUGGAUGGUGGUGCAUGGCCGUUCUUAGUUCGUGGAGUGAUUUGUCUGGUUUAUUCCGAUAACGAGCGAGACUCUCGCCUACUAAAUAGCCGGAGCAUUGUUUCUGUGCUUGCGACUUCUUAGAGGGAUUUUCGGUGUUCAGCCGCAAGAAAUUGAGCAAUAACAGGUCUGUGAUGCCCUUAGAUGUCCGGGGCUGCACGCGCGCUACACUGGCAAAAUCAGCGUGCUUGUCCUCCUCCGAAAGGAGUUGGUAAACCCCUGAAAAUUUGCCGUGAUAGGGAUCGGAAAUUGCAAUUAUUUUCCGUGAACGAGGAAUUCCAAGUAAGUGCGAGUCAUCAGCUCGCGUUGAUUACGUCCCUGCCCUUUGUACACACCGCCCGUCGCUGCCCGGGACUGAGCCAUUUCGAGAAACUUGGGGACUGCCGAUCUGACAGCUUCGGCUGUCUCUUUGUUGGAAACCAAUUUAAUCGCAGUGGCUUGAACCGGGC